CACGUAGGCACCAAGCGUUGUCCGGAUUUAUUGGGCGUAAAGAGCUCGUAGGCGGUUCAGUAAGUCGGGUGUGAAAACUCUGGGCUCAACCAGAGACGCCACCCGAUACUGCUGUGACUUGAGUACGGUAGGGGAGACGUGGAAUUCCUGGUGUAGCGGUGAAAUGCGCAGAUAUCAGGAGGAACACCGGUGGCGAAGGCGGGUCUCUGGGCCGAUACUGACGCUGAGGAGCGAAAGCGUGGGGAGCGAACAGG
rnacentral:rRNA from 1 species